rnacentral:rRNA from 1 species
AUUGAACGCUGGCGGCAUGCCUUACACAUGCAAGUCGAACGGUAACAGGUCUUCGGAUGCUGACGAGUGGCGAACGGGUGAGUAAUACAUCGGAACGUGCCUAGUAGUGGGGGAUAACUACUCGAAAGAGUGGCUAAUACCGCAUGAGAUCUACGGAUGAAAGCAGGGGAUCGCAAGACCUUGUGCUACUAGAGCGGCCGAUGGCAGAUUAGGUAGUUGGUGGGAUAAAAGCUUACCAAGCCGACGAUCUGUAGCUGGUCUGAGAGGACGAUCAGCCACACUGGGACUGGGACACGGCCCAGACUCCUACGGGAGGCAGCAGUGGGGAAUGUUGGACAAUGGGCGAAAGCCUGAUCCAGCAAGGCCGCGUGCAGGAUGAAGGCCUUCGGGUUGUAAACUGCUUUUGUACGGAACGAAAAGCCCCGGGUUAAUACCCUGGGGUCAUGACGGUACCGUAAGAAUAAGCACCGGCUAACUACGUGCCAGCCGCCGCCGUAA